rnacentral:rRNA from 1 species
UACAGAGGGGGCAAGCGUUGUUCGGAAUUACUGGGCGUAAAGGGCGCGUAGGCGGCCUGCUAAGUCGAACGUGAAAUCCCUGGGCUCAACCCAGGAACUGCGUCCGAUACUGGUUGGCUUGAAUCCAGAAGAGGGGGGCGGAAUUCCCAGUGUAGCGGUGAAAUGCGUAGAUAUUGGGAGGAACACCUGCGGCGAAGGCGGGUUGCUGGGCCGACACUGACGCUGAGGCGCGAAAGCUAGGGGAGCGAACGGG